rnacentral:lncRNA from 1 species
AUGGCACUAAAAUCUAGUCGUCUAACAAAUCAACUUAGCAACAUUAGCCACAUACAUUCGCUGAGUGUCCAUGUAUCCAUCACAUCUUAUUCUCCACCGCUGUUAUGGUGCAUUUUAUGUUAUGGACUACAUGUAACUUAUGAAGCAUUAAUUGAAUCCAACUAUAUAUAGAUGUUAGGGUGCAUAGCUAAUAUAUAAUUAGUCCUUACAUGCUUUCCCUAUUUAAACUCGGAUACUUUUGGCGGAUCAAAGAUCUAAAUCUAACCUGAAAUAUAAUGAUCAACUUAUAUUCGGCACCAAACAGGUUUAUGUUAUGGUUUCCUUAAUC